CUCGUCUCGUCUCGUCUCGUCUCGUCUCGUCUCGUCUCAUCUCUUUAAUGUGAAGGGUAACACAGUAGACUCCAUUAAAAAGCAGAUUCUAGUUGGAAAGUUAGUAUUCCAAAGUUAUCAUGAUCUAAGAAUAAAAUCUACUUGAUUGUCCUGUAAAAUCAGAAAGCACAGGCCCACAAUUUUCUAACAUAAACCACACUAUUUAUGCUGUUAUGAUGAAACAGCAUCAAGUUUGCCUUCUUAUGGAAGAGCUCUUUUUUCUUGAAGCAUUCUAGUCUAAUUACCGUUAACAAUUACUUGAGUUUCUUUAUAUGUAUUCCAAAAUGGUUUAAAGGAAAUAAGAACAUAUUUGAUAUGGUUCACAAGAAAAGGUUUUUCUUUCACUAGGAAACAUCUUCAUUUCUGAUGUGAAGCAGAGAUUUUUCCUGCCUUGUAAUGUCUCACAGGGAUUGUUCAUACUGAAUAGGGAAAAUUUGCUUUUACCAGUGAAGUACUUCACAGUAUAUGUGAAAGCUGAUCUUAGAAAAAUAAAUUCCAGUGGGUGGAUAUUUACUUAGAAUUGUAAUAAUAAAUAUAAAAUUAAUUGUUUUAUAUGUAUGGUAGUUCAGUUCAGAUAUAAUCUAGAUAUGUCGCAUAGACAUUCAGUCACGUUCCUGUAAACUACAAGCAAAGUGUUGUUUGGAAAACAGGAAAUGUGAGAAACAUGAUAUUAAAAUUAAUCUUCAAAAUUAUGUAAAGGUUUUGUUUCAGGGGGGAUUUUCAUGUCAAAUGUGCACAGAACACCUCCGAUGCUCUAUUGUUUUGAUUGGCAGAAAUAGUUACCUGCUGGGCUUCUGAAACAAGUGGACACAAUUCUAGCAAAAUCCUAAAGGUAGAAAGUCCAGUGCAUAAAGCUGGGGGAAACAACAGAAACUAUGAAUACAUUUUUAAGAAAAAAAUAAAUAUUGGCAAAUACUACCAAUAAAUGUGGAACUUUUGUCUCUAAGCAGUUAAAUUAAGGUCAGGUGUCUUAUUUAAAACAGCUUUCACCCAACCACAAGCUUUUCAUGAAGGCAGAAGUGAUUCUGUGCCAUUGUGACACCUACAUUGUGUCUUCUACAGGAAUCAUGGUGAAUCCUGACCUUAAAUCUCUAAAUUGUUCCUGCUGCUAUGAUUAGCAGAAUAUAACUGCCCAGAUGGUUGAAUAUUUUGUUUCUCUGGAUUUGUUGUUGUUGUUGUUAGCAUUACUUGUGCCACCAGUAAAAAAAAAAAAAAAAAAAAAAAAAAAAGUCUAUGAUCACAACAUCUUCUGCAGCUGAAAGGGAACAGUCUGCCUUUUUUCACUUCAAAACAGUGAAACAGUUACUUUGUAACUAACAGUUCCUAAAAGUGUUUUGAAAUUGCUGAGGAAAUGCUGGAGUUAACAAAAACACCUGGCACUCAAUUACUAUCCUGAACAAGCUGUUUUGUGAGCUGGAUAAGAAACAAGCUCUGUGUUCUUUGGCCGCAGCACUCUGCCUUGAAUAAACAAAAUUACAAACUGUGAUGAGGCAAGGGACUAGAGGGAAUGACCUCAAGUUGUGGCAGGGAAGGUUCAGGUUGGAUAUUAGGGAGAAUUUCAUCUCAUAAAGAGCAGUGAGGCAGUGGCACAGGCUGCCCAGGGAGGUGGUGGGGUCACCAUCCCUGGAGGUGUUCAGAACUGUGCGGAUGUGGCACUGAGGGACGUGGUCAGUGGGCAUGGUGGGGUGGGUUGGGGUUGGUGGCCUUAGUGGUCUUUCCCAACCUUUAUGAUUCUAUGCGAUAUGCAGGCGGGCAGGGUGGCUAGCACAUCACACUGCUCACCUUGUGUCUGAAAAACACUUUCUCCUUAUUUCUCUUUGCCAAUAUUGAUUUUUUUGGUACUGCUAGAAUUUUCACAAUUUUCCCAUUGAAUCCAGUCCCAGGUUACCAGCUGGGAAUUUAAUGGAGAAAAAUGGAUCAGAAAGAAGAAUCUGAUAUUAUAUAUAUAUAUAUAUAAAACCAGUAAAUUUGGUUUCUUUGGUUUCAGGAAAAGACUGAUGCAUGAAAAUGUGAUUAUAUAUAUUUGCAGUAUUUAAAAGCAAACAAGCAAAAAACAAUCAAUCAAACAAAUAAAAACCCCAACACACUAGCACAAUUUCCUAUUAGAUAUACUGCUAGAUUUGGGGUCAUUACCUGAGUGUUUCAAAAUCUUCAGAAAUUGUUGGAAAUAGCUCUAAAAUGCUGUUUAUUGUUUCUGAUUAUUGUUUCACCCUUCAAGGUAGAAAUGCUUGUAAUUUCUUCCAAUCCAGCAUUGUCCAGGAGAUUCUUCACAGAAGCUCUCUGUGCACAUCACCCCUGGUCUUCCUAUCUAGCCAUAUCUCACUCACCUCCACUCUGCAUGUAGUUAACUGUGGUACUAGUGAUGCCACCCCUUCCUUGAUCCUCCUUCCUGUGCUGUGAUGCUGUGGUAUUUCUCAGUUUUAUGCCACAUAGUCUCAGAAAUCUGUGCACACUGUGACUGGGUGAUACUUCCUUGGGAGGUUUAAGCCCUGCUCUCAGCUCUUCCUUCAUGUUUCUGUAUGACCACAGGCACAUUUGAUCUGCUUUCUCCAAGGUGUAAAAACGGGGUUAAUUGCUAUAUCUAUAAACUCACAAACAUGAUCUAGCAAAACAAAUCAUGAAGUUGCAUCUUUCACUUGGUUCAUCAUUUUCUCCUCUUUUGGUAGCAGAAAAAUGAGAUGAUCUACUUGGGUUUCUCAAGUGAACUCUUAACAAAUGUCUUGAGUAUGGAAGUGAUUGUAUCUAAC
ensembl:lncRNA